ensembl:lncRNA
GGGAUAUUGAGGUCGGAGAAUUCGGAGCUCGAGGAUGAUCCAAGUUUCCGAUUUGGAAUUUCGAGUUGGAUGACCGUUCAAAACAAAUUUUCCAAUUCGAAACACAUUUUUCCGAAUUGCAAGUUGUAUUGAACACACUGAGGUCAGAUGUCGGAGAUUCCCGAGUUCCCAGUUGAAUGGAACGCUGCAUGAACUCCGACUUCUCUCCCAUUAUGGCCUCUUCGUUUUUUUAAAUGUAACUAGGCAAGUCAGUUAAGAACAAAUUCUUAUUUAUUUAUAAACCGGGACAACGCUGAGCCAAUUGUGCGCCGCACUAUGGGACUCCCAAUCACAGCCAGUUGUGAUACAGCCUGGAUUCGAACCAGAGUGUUUGUAGUGACGCCUCUAGCACUGUAUCAGGAAAUGAAAGCAGUAUCAGGAAAUGAUCUCCAUAACAGAUUUUUCGGCAGUUAAGUGUAACAACUAAACAUUAUUUAUAAAAGCAAUCUAUUCAUAUAUAUUUUUUCACACUGUAUUUUCUUGACAAGCAUGAUUGAUAGCUGUUCUUGUAGUUUAUGGUUGACCAGCUGGUUGGCCAUUAGCCAAUCGGCGUUUCAACGAGUUCAAAGCAUGUGUGAAUGUAUCCAAAUUGCAACGAGUAAUUACCACCUUCCCAUGUGGUUAUGCUGCGUUCAUGUGCUCGUCGAAGUAUUUGAUUUCGAUAAUAUUGCUUUGUUUCAUUCAUUUGCUUUUUGGUCUGACUCUGCAAACUUGUUAGAUGCAUUUGCUGUUUGUUUUGCUUGUUUUUCAGUUUAUGUUGUGCCCAAUAGAAAUUAAUGAUAAAUAAUGUAUUUUAGGAAGGUAGAAAGAAAGUCAUUUGAACCGGUGAUUCGUAACAUUUGGAUUAGAAGACACUGGGUAUCUCUCCUCUGAUGGCUGCCAUGAAUGGUCACGUCCCUGCGGUCAAGCUGCUGCUGGACAUGGGCUCAGACAUCAACACUCAGAUCGAGACCAAACGUAACACAGCACAGACCCUGGCCUGCCAACGUGGAGCACUGCGUCAAGGCUGUGUCAGAUGGCUAUACUGAGAUGGGGCAUGUGCUACUGGCCAAGAGCGCUUACGCCACCUGUCCAAACCUCCCAAGACACCGUGUGCACCAUUGCUGCAGACAAGGGCCACUACAAGUUCUGUGAGCUCCUCAUCAACACGUAAUUACUGUUACAGUCUACCUUCAGUAUGAGAGUGAGUGUCAUUUCAGUCAGAAUACCAUUCCUCUCCAGUCUCAUUGCUCAGACCUGCAACUCGUCUCUGAGUGAGUUAUUACAGUGUUAUAACCAGCAGUGUGUGUAGUUCGGCAUUUGCUUCUCGCUAAAGUCCAAACUAUUCACAUUUCCUCUCUCCUUUAGUCUGGUCCAUCUCAGAGCUGUGACCAAUCAAAUCAAUUCAAAUCAAAGUUUAUUGUGCACCGAAUACAACAGGUGUAGUAGACAUUAUAGUGAAAUGCUUACUUACAACCCUCAUAUCCCGGGCAUAACAUGUGACUUCAAUCUGAGUGAAUAUGUAUUAUGUUGUAGCUGGUGCUCUGCUCCCUACCCUGCGAUUUGUUGUAUGAAUUGCUGUGAUUUGAGGCUGUAGUUUAUGUUUUAUUUUUAUUGUAUUUGUGUGUAUAAGGGGACACUGCUAUGGUGGCUGUGUGGCUCAGGGCUAUGUUCCCUACUCCCUACAAAGCAUUUUGUUGUAUAAAUUGUAAUAAUAUAAUUUUUUCUUGUUUUUCUUGUUUUGUUUUUUGGUAUAAAAUAUAAUUCUGAGCAAUGACUAAAUGUCUACUUGUUAAUUGUUUCAGGUUGUUAGUUUACAACUAUCAGGGGGGUUGAAGGAUAAUAUGAAUUUGCAUCAGGACACUUCUGAGGGGACUCUGGCGAUACAUCUGCAGGAUCGACUUAUUUCUGGCAGACAGAAUGGGCCGAUUCUGGGCAGUCAUUCAAUAUGACAUCGUUGCUAGCUGGGUAAAAUGUCAGAAGAUCUUUUAGUUUUAGUUACAGCACAAUAAAAAAGCAAUACAAAUUGUUGUUACCGCCACCAACUUGUACAGGGUGUAAUAAAAGCCAUGGUUGAUGCUUUUUGCCUACUGUAAACAUUGCACUCAGAAAUUAGGAUAUAAAUAGUACCCCAAACUGAUCCAAAUGUAGUAUCGAUUCAAAUGUUACGAAUCGCCACUUCACUAAAUGUUUUUGUUCAAAUUACUUUCUAUCUAUCUCCCUAAAAUACAUUAUUUACCAUUCAUUUCUAUUGGGCACAACAUAAUCUGAAAUCAACCAAAACAAACAGCAAAUGCAUCCAACAAGUUUGUAGAGUCACAAGCUUGAUGUAAUCAUUGAGUGCUAGGAAUAUGGGACCAAAUACUAACUGCUUGACUACUUUAAGAUGCAUAAGCUAAUUUGUUCCAAUACUUUUGGGCCCCUAAAAUGGGGGGACUAUGUACAAAGGUGCUGUAAUUUCAUGGAUUAUUUGAUAUGGAUUACAAUACCAUCCAAUUAAAGCGGACAGUCUGCACUUUAACCUUAUAGUCAUUGUAUCAUUUCAAAUCCAAAGUGCUGGAGUACAGAGCCAACACAACAACAAAAUUGUCACUGUCCCAACACUUUUGGAGCUCACUGUAUGUUGACAGUCAUUGAUCUACAAGUCAUUUUGCAUGAAGAACAACUCCUGGCAAUAUCAGUAGCUUUGUCAAAUUGAGCGCUGUCUACAGCUUUGCAUGUUGACCACGGAGAGGUAGGCCUAUACCUGAUCUGGCACAUCUGUGCAUCUCCUUCAGCAUUGAAAUGUUUGUAAAAUGGUUUGCGCAGUAUUAUGCUUUAUUAGUUGAGUGACAACCAAUGUCAUAUUCUAGGUUAUUUUUUAUCAAAUGCACUGUUCAAAAGGGUGUUUUACUGGAAUAAAAGUAGCCUAAACUACCGCUGGAGGCACAACUCUCAAUCUGGCUAUAGGUAGGCUACAUUCUGAUCAGGGUUUACAUUAGAUUUUAUUUCAAUUGUUCAGGUUCUCCCGUCAGCAAUAGUUUUGGUAGUUUUACUUGAAGCAAUCAAUAUGCAUGGUCAUUUUCAGAUAUACAGGGUAAAGUUCAGAAUUUCAUGAGGACAAAAGAGUGCAUGAUCGAAGCUACCAAAAAAGUGCAUGAUCGAAACGGGAGAAGAAGAGUUGCUCAAUCCAGAGUCUGUCAAAACUUCCAAACAGUCUAAACCAUUCUAUUAUGAGACAGGGUCAAAUCCAAAGUUGUGCUAUAUAUUCGUUGGCUAUGUUAUAGUACAUUUUUUAAGAUACGUAUUGAUACAUUACUAGCUCUAACACUUUUAAUCAGCAAUGGGCUGAUAGUGGGGUGGUAGAUUCCCAGUUUCCCUUAUAGCUCAGCUACACACACACACACACACACACACACACACACAGCUCAGAGAGAUCCAGCUCAGAGUCCCAGCUCAUUUACAGCAGAUUACUUUAGAAUGGAAAAUGAAUGUGUUUAAGCAACAAAUGUAAGAGCAUCAAACCAUGUCAGGUCGCAAUUGUAAAUGAGAACUUGUUCUCAACUUGCC